CCCUUAGAUGUUCGGGGCCGCACGCGCGCUACACUGAUGGGGACAGCGUGUUUGCCAUUCCUGGUCCGGCAGGAUUGGGCAAUCCGUUGAACCCCCGUCGUGAUUGGGAUCGGAGCUUGUAACUAUUCUCCGUAAACGAGGAAUUCCCAGUAAGCGCAAGUCAUCAGCUUGCGUCGAUUACGUCCCUGCCCUUUGUACACACCGCCCGUCGCUCCUACCGAUUGGGUGUGCUGGUGAAAUGUUCGGAUCGGCCGUUUGUCGCGGUUUCCGCGGCUCGUGGCUGAGAAGUUCAUUAAACCCUCCCACCUAGAGGAAGGAGAAGUCGUAACA
rnacentral:rRNA from 1 species